GCAAACUUGGUCAUUUAGAGGAAGUAAAAGUCGUAACAAGGUUUCCGUAGGUGAACCUGCGGAAGGAUCAUUAUUGAAUAAACUUGGCGUGGUUGAGCUGACUCUCUCGGGAGUAUGUGCUCGCUCGUCAUCUUUAUCUUUCCACCUGUGCACUUUUUGUAGAUUUGGAUGUAACUUUCUGAGGCAACUCAGUUGGGAGGAAUGCUAUUUCGAUGGCUUUCCUUGUAUGUCCAAGUCUAUGUUUUCAUAUACUCCAAGUAUGUAACAGAAUGUAUCACUGGGCCUUGUGCCUAUAAACCUUAUACAACUUUCAGCAACGGAUCUCUUGGCUCUCGCAUCGAUGAAGAACGCAGC
rnacentral:misc_RNA from 1 species